GUGCUCCCCCGCCAAUUCCUUUAAGUUUCAGCCUUGCGGCCGUGCUUCCCAGGUGGCUCGCUUCACGGCUUCCCUACGGCACCAACCACGGUCGCACCGUGGCUGACACCUAGCGAGUAUCGUUUACGGCUAGGACUACCCGGGUAUCUAAUCCGGUUCGUGCCCCUAGCUUUCGUCCCUUGCCGUCAGGACCGUUCUGGUGAGACGCCUUCGCCACUGGUGGUCCUUCAAGGAUUACAAGAUUUCACCCCUACCCCUGAAGUACCUCUCACCUCUCCCGGCCUCGAGCCGAACAGUAUCUUCUGAAAGCCCAACUGUUGAGCAGCUGGAUUUCCCAAAAGACUUAUCCGGCCGGCUACAGACCCUUUAGACCCAAUAAUAGCGGUUACCACUCGAGCCGCCGGUGUUACCGCGGCGGCUGGCACCGGUCUUGCCCGGCCCUUGCUAUGCAAUGCUUUUUAGGCAUUACGACAGCCAAGAUUGUAUCCUGGCACUCGAGGUCCCCUUAUCGCUGUUGCCAGCAUUGUAAAGUUUUCGCGCCUGCUGCACCCCGUAGGGCCUGGAUUCGUGUCUCAGAAUCCAUCUCCGGGCUCUCGCUCUCACGACCCGUACCCGUCGUAGGCUAGUAGGUACAUUACACCCACUACUACCUGAUAGGCCGCAGACCCAUCCUCAGUCGCCGGAGCUUUCGUCCUGCACGCAUUCCAGCAUCCCAGAACUAUCGGGUAUUAUACCCAGUUUCCCGGGUUUAUCCCCGUGCUGAGGGUAGGUUGUCCACGUGUUACUGAGCCGU
rnacentral:rRNA from 1 species